GCCCAGCUUGCUGGGUGGAUUAGUGGCGAACGGGUGAGUAACACGUGAGCAACCUGCCCCUGACUCUGGGAUAACAGCCGGAAACGGUUGCUAAUACCGGAUAUGCAUCAUGGCCGCAUGGUCUGUGGUGGGAAAGAUUUUUCGGUUGGGGAUGGGCUCGCGGCCUAUCAGCUUGUUGGUGAGGUAGUGGCUCACCAAGGCGUCGACGGGUAGCCGGCCUGAGAGGGUGACCGGCCACACUGGGACUGAGACACGGCCCAGACUCCUACGGGAGGCAGCAGUGGGGAAUAUUGCACAAUGGGCGGAAGCCUGAUGCAGCAACGCCGCGUGAGGGAUGACGGCCUUCGGGUUGUAAACCUCUUUUAGCAGGGAAGAAGCGAAAGUGACGGUACCUGCAGAAAAAGCGCCGGCUAACUACGUGCCAGCAGCCGCGGUAAUACGUAGGGCGCAAGCGUUAUCCGGAAUUAUUGGGCGUAAAGAGCUCGUAGGCGGUUUGUCGCGUCUGCUGUGAAAACCCGAGGCUCAACCUCGGGCCUGCAGUGGGUACGGGCAGACUAGAGUGCGGUAGGGGAGAUUGGAAUUCCUGGUGUAGCGGUGGAAUGCGCAGAUAUCAGGAGGAACACCGAUGGCGAAGGCAGAUCUCUGGGCCGUUACUGACGCUGAGGAGCGAAAGGGUGGGGAGCAAACAGGCUUAGAUACCCUGGUAGUCCACCCCGUAAACGUUGGGAACUAGUUGUGGGGGCCUUUCCACGGUCUCCGUGACGCAGCUAACGCAUUAAGUUCCCCGCCUGGGGAGUACGGCCGCAAGGCUAAAACUC
rnacentral:rRNA from 1 species